AGAAACAGGGAAUCUGUGGCGAAUCAUAAACAUCGGGGAUAGAAAUGCUUCUUCUUUAAUGCUCAGAACCCGAACGUCACUUCCGGCAACAAUAGGAAACGUCAAAAGUCGGGCAGUCCGCAGCUCUGGUUGCUGCAGCUUGAGGCGCGCUGAGUUCAGAGGAACCCUGUGCUGUGUCUGGUAUUCUCUCUGCUGCCACCGCUAACGGCGUGAACAAGUGAAGUUGGAACCGGCUUCUCCAUGGCCUGGGCACCAGUUCCUGGCUGAGCCAUUUUCUUUGUGAGUUAAAAAAGCCCCCGCCCAGAGACCGAUUCGUCGCGGCGGCGGUGGGGAUCGCAGGUCGCUCAGGCUUGCAGAUGGGUCAGGGCCUGUGGAGAGUGGCCAGAAACCAGCAGCUCCAGCACGAAGGUUACAGCGAGCAAGGCUACCUGAGCAGAGAGCAGAGCAGGAGGAUGGCUGCCAGCAGCAUGCCCGACACCGGUCACCGGAAACAGGUCCCAGGAGGCAUCGACAUUUAUCAUCUUCUGAAGGCACGGAAAUCAAAAGAACAGGAAGGAUUCAUUAAUUUGGAAAUGCUGCCCCCUGAGCUAAGCUUUACCAUCCUGUCCUACCUGAAUGCGACCGACCUCUGCUUAGCCUCCUGUGUUUGGCAGGACCUUGCGAAUGACGAACUUCUCUGGCAAGGGUUGUGUAAAUCCACAUGGGGUCACUGUUCCAUAUACAAUAAGAGCCCACCUCUAGGAUUUUCCUUCAGAAAAUUGUAUAUGCAGUUGGAUGAAGGCAGCCUCACCUUUAAUGCCAACCCAGAGGAGGGAGUGAACUACUUUAUGUCCAAGGGUAUCCUAGAUGAUUCACCAAAGGAAAUAGCAAAGUUUAUCUUCUGUACAAGAACACUAAAUUGGAAAAAACUGAGAAUCUAUCUUGAUGAAAGGAGAGAUGUCUUGGAUGACCUUGUCACGUUGCAUAAUUUUAGAAACCAGUUCUUGCCCAAUGCACUGAGAGAAUUUUUUCGUCAUAUCCAUGCCCCUGAAGAGCGUGGAGAGUAUCUUGAAACUCUCAUAACGAAGUUCUCGCAUAGAUUCUGUGCUUGUAACCCCGAUUUAAUGAGAGAACUUGGCCUUAGUCCUGAUGCUGUCUAUGUACUGUGCUACUCUCUCAUUCUACUUUCCAUUGACCUCACUAGCCCUCACGUGAAGAAUAAGAUGUCAAAAAGAGAAUUUAUUCGAAAUACCCGUCGUGCUGCUCAAAACAUUAGUGAAGAUUUUGUAGGGCACCUUUAUGACAACAUCUACCUUAUUGGCCACGUGGCCGCAUAAAAGCACAAUUGCUAGGACUUCCAUGAUUAAUUUCAGACUAAAGUUACCCAAGGACUGACUUAGCGGAUGUGGGGGUCACAUUAGUGCUGGUCAUUCUAGCCUCUGUAUACAAUCAGGCUCAAGUGUACACCUUUUUUUCCUUUUACUCUUUUCUUCUUUUAGUAAUUUCCUUGGGGAGCUAAAGGAUUUUACAGAAUUUUUCUUAAUUUUGCUUAUCAUGUUGUGCACAAAGCAGAGCCAUUGUCUGACACAGCUGUUUAAGAAUGUUCAACUGACAUUAUACUCUAAAAGGUGGUAUAUUUGUGUGUUAGAUUUGCUUGAAAAACUAUUCAUUUUCAUUCUUUUUAAAAAUACCAUGUAAUGUGUACAUAUUUAACUAAAGAGAUUUAUAAUCAUAAUUAUUUUAUUGUAAAGAUUUUAACUAAAGCCUUUCCUUUUCCUCUGAAACUGGGUUCUGAAAUUUAUUUGAUUCUGAUCAGAGCUUUUUACUGUCUUCAUAAAAGUUGGAUCUGACUUGGAUGAAAACCAAUGCCAGUUUCUCUUUCCUUUAAACUUUUGAGAAGAGUAUUUAUUCUUUUGUUCCUAGUAAUAAGCAAAACAAGCACUUAUUUUUAUAAUAUAAAUUCGUCCUUGACUUUCCACUUCUUAAAGUUUCCUCAUUUUUAACGUUUUAGUCAUGUCUCAAUAAGUCCUUUAAACCAUUUGAGAUAGCAAAAUAUAUUAAAUCUAAGAUUUACAUACAUAGGAACAGAAUGUUGUUAGAACUUCUAUCUGAUGUAAUUAGUCAAACUUUACCAUUCUCUUAACUUGAUAAUUUGUGUUUAGAAUCAGCUGAGUAAGGGGUAUUGUGAAUGAAUAAAUGUUCUUUAUUCAUUCAUUCAAAAAUACGUACCAAAGGCCUUCCAUGUAGUAAACACUGUGUUAGGUAGUAGUGAUACCUGGGCCCUGCCUUUACAGAUGUUACAUGAGUGGUAACAAAAGGACAAAUACUGCUUCGUGGAGAGCAAUUGUAUGAAGCUUAAUUAAUAAUUAUUUAAUUAUGAAACACUUAGCAUUGAAAUGGUAAAGGACAGUAUAUUGGUGAUGGUAAGCCAGAAGUGUUCUGGAAAUACUGCUAAGUGAAAAGCAUCAACUUUGAAAUGAGACAUUAUGUGAUGGGUAGAGCUCUAGUCUAGGGGAGGAGCUUGGAAGAGUAGAAACUUGGAGUAGAGCUGUACAAUCCCAACUUCUUUCCAGAUCUGGUCCUAAGCAAAUAGUGGUUUGGUAAUAGUACAACUACAGUGAUGUCCUACAUUUUUCAAUGACACCAUGGAAGGUCAUCAAACAUUCAGAAGUCAGAGGGACUUUUAGACUCUGGGAAUAAACAAGUUCUCCGAUCGUGAGGCAAAUAUCUAAAUUUUCACGUGCACAAUUUCAAACUCCAUGCCAAGAUAACUCUAAUUUAACUUCAAAAGUAAUGUAGGGAAAAGUUUCAGAAGAUGGUAAUGAUAACAGCAUUGUUUCUAUUUUCCAGUGAAUGGCAGGCAUCUUGCCCUAUCUCCUUCUAUCCAUCUCUUUUCUUUCCUUCUAUUUCUUCUUUUUUGUAUCUUUCAUUUCCCAACCUUUUCCCUUUUUCCUGUUUAAUUUUUCCACCCUGACAUGUUUAUGAAUGUAGACUGGCAGUAUUCUUUUUUUUUUUAACACUUUCUUUAAAAUUUUUCAAACAUUUAAAAAAGUUAAGAGAAUCCCUAUAUAACCACUAUGUAGAUUCUACAAUUAAAACUUAACUGUGCUCACUUUACCAUAUAUUUAUCUCUCUCUCUGACCAUCAGUCAGCUCAUCUUAAUGUGUGAUACAGAUAAUCCAAGUUUCAGACAUCAGUACAUCUCAUUCACUAGAGAUCCACUUUUUUUUUUCUUUAUAGGUAGAAUUUACAUUCAAUGAAAUGCAUAAAUCUUAGGUAUAGGAAUCCAUGAAUCUUCAUAAAUGCAUAUACCUGAGUAAACCAAGCCUGAAUCAAGAUAAUCAACUUUGCACAACCUAUUUAUUUACAGGUGAUAUUUGCACUACUUCACGUAGAGUGUAGAAGCCUUGUGACCACAUAGCCGUUUGUUGUCUUACAGUCACAGAUUAAAGAAGGACCAGAGGAAAAGAAGGUUUGCGAAGAUUAAAGAAGGACCAGAGAAGCGUGGGAUCCCAAGAGCCAGGGAAGUGGAGUUUCAAGAAGGAUGUUGAGCUUGCAUUUGGUGCAGCCCAACCAAGUAGUCUUUUUUCCCAUCUACACUCAAGCCUCCUCAAGCCCACCUUCUUCAGUGCUUAGGCAGCACAUACAUUAAAAUUGGAACAAUACAGAGGCUGAGUUUUUAGUUACUAGUAGUGCUAAUGGCUUUUAUAUUGUCUCUAACCAAAUAUUCUCUGGCCUGGCAUGUAAUCUGAGCUCUUCUGAAACCCACAAGAGUACAUACGGUCCACUACAACCCGGACCUGUCUACACCUUUCAUCCCCACUAAGGGCUGUGCUGUUUCAAGCUUGGAACACACCAGAUCAACUGGGUACUGCUAGUGCAUUUCUCCUACAUAGUCACCAGUUCGGUUUUCUAAUACAUGGAAUUUUUUUAAGAAAGAGAAGGAAAAAGUGCUUAAAACCUUUGGGUCCUGCAAAUAUAUCAUCAACAGGAUUUUUCCUAAGUAUAUUUUAACACCCUAAUCUCAGUGAACUCUGUAUUUUCAUCCUUCCAUUAAUUUUGCUCCCUUUUAUUGGGGAAAGUGUGCAACCUCUCCCUCACAUUCACUUGUUGAAAUGUUAUUUGUCCUUCAAAGUUCUCUUAGACUCUUUCCCCUCCAGAGACAAUUCUGGCAAGUGGAAAUUUUAUUCUUGUAUCUCCCUCAGUACCUAACAGAGACCUUGGCCCAGAACAGUUAAUAAAUCCAACUGAACUAUUUUAGAUCCAGUUUAGUUUCUACAUAAGCACAUAGAAAGAUGGCUUUACUAUGCCCAUUUAAAAAUAAAUAUAUUUGGAGCCUUCCGUUGUAUACAACUUAUUAAUUGGAAUAUAUUAGAACUUUCUAAAGCAUUUUAAAACAUAAAUUAAACUGUGUAUUCUAGAUAUAUAUUCAUCUCUAGAGGACUUCUAAUUUUAAAUAGUUUGAUGAAUUACUACUUUAAGAUUGUCUUUUUUUUUUUAACUUCAAGAGUUUAAGUCAUUGAUCUUGCCUACAUUGAUCUUUUACACUUUUUACAAUAUGAUAAAUAUGGUGCUCCAUGAGUAAGCUUAUUCAGAAGUCAUUACAUUUAAAAUAAUAACUUGUUUAUUGUAAUUGGAGUCUGUUUUCCUGUGUUUAAAGUGAACUUCUUAAAUAAUACUGUUCACUGCCUAGUUUCUUUUUAAGCAUUCAUAAUUGAAUAUGUCCACUGUGAGAAGCCAUCCUAAGGAAAGGAUCCAAAAUAGGGAAAAGGCAGUACUUACACCAUUAGUUCUGUCAUUGUUUUCAAUUUAAGAAAGAAAGGAGCUAACUGGAAUGCCCACAACUUGGGGCUUUUAAAACAAAUAACUAGCAGAUAUGUGAAUGUAAACCAUGUCCCAGACACUAUGCUAGGCACUGGUAAAGUAGACCAAAUUACAUCCUUCCCAUGUAUUACUGUGCAGCUAUGAUGUUUAUGAGUAAUAUGUGAAAGCAGUUAUAAAUAAUGAUGAAUACCAAAAGGGUAUGAAUUAUAAAUAUAUGUAUAUGUAUACAUAUAUAUGUGCACACAUAUUACAGUUACUAUGUAAGACACUGCAAAAUCUAUGAAUGGAAAAAGAGACGAAUAAAAUCUAUCAAAAUAUGGA